UCCUACGGGGGGCAGCAGUGGGGAAUAUUGCACAAUGGGGGAAACCCUGAUGCAGCGACGCCGCGUGAGUGAAGAAGUAUUUCGGUAUGUAAAGCUCUAUCAGCAGGGAAGAUAAUGACGGUACCUGAGUAAGAAGCCCCGGCUAACUACGUGCCAGCAGCCGCGGUAAUACGUAGGGGGCAAGCGUUAUCCGGAAUUACUGGGUGUAAAGGGAGCGUAGACGGUUAAGUAAGUCUGGAGUGAAAGGCCGGGGCCCAACCCCGGGACUGCUCUGGAAACUAUUCAACUUGAGUGCAGGAGAGGUA
rnacentral:rRNA from 1 species